ACAAAAACAUGUCUCUUUGAUAAUUAAUUAUAGGGAGUUUGACCUGCCCGGUGAAAUAUAAUUUAACGGCCGCAGUACUUUGACUGUGCGAAGGUAGCAUAAUUAUUUGCCUUAUAAUUGGAGGCUUGUAUGAAUGGUUUUACGAGAAUAAUUCUGUCUUAUUUUAAUUUUUUUGAACUUAACUUUUAAGUGAAGAGGCUUAAAUUUUAUUGAUAGACAAGAAGACCCUGUCGAGCUUUAAUUUUUAUAUAUAAAUUUAUAUUUUUAUUUUGUUUGUAAAUUUUAGUUGGGGUGACUAAGGAAUAAUAUUAAUUUCCUUGUUUUUGUUGUAAUUUAUUGAUUUUGAUCCAUUUUUAAUGAUUAAUAGAAUUAGUUACCGCAGGGAUAACAGCAUAAUCUUUUUUGAGAGUUCAUAUUGAAAAAAGGGUUUGUGACCUCGAUGUUGGAUUAAAAUUUCCUAAGGGUGCAGAAGUUUUUAAGGGUUAGUCUGUUCGACUAUUAAAAUUUUACAUGAGCUGAG
rnacentral:rRNA from 1 species